UACGAAGGGGGCUAGCGUUGCUCGGAAUCACUGGGCGUAAAGCGCACGUAGGCGGAUUGCUAAGUCAGGGGUGAAAUCCUGGAGCUCAACUCCAGAACUGCCCUUGAUACUGGCGGUCUCGAGUCCGGGAGAGGUGAGUGGAACUGCGAGUGUAGAGGUGAAAUUCGUAGAUAUCGGGAGGAACACCUGUGGCGAAGGCGGCCGCCUGGUUGGAUACUGACGCUGAGACGCGAAAGCGUGGGGAGCAAACAGG
rnacentral:rRNA from 1 species